GCCAAGUGUGUAAUAGCACUUAGUACACGGUUGAUUCAAAAUCCGCCGCCCAUAAAGCGUGUCGGUUCGAGUCCGACCACUGGCACCA
rnacentral:tRNA from 1 species